ACAUGCAAGGGCACUCUGUGUUAUACAUCCUAAAUAUGAUAAUUACAAUUUGUUACCUUGCUACAUAAAAUCUGCUGAACCCUAUUCCGGACAGCUUUGAAGUUGUCGUUCGGUCAUAUUGGCANAAAAACAUUUU
rnacentral:snoRNA from 1 species